CCUACGGGAGACUGCAGUGAGGAAUAUUGGUCAAUGGACGCAAGUCUGAACCAGCCAUGCCGCGUGCAGGAAGACGGCGCUAUGAGUUGUAAACUGCUUUUGUACGAGGGUAAACGCAGAUACGCGUAUCUGUCUGAAAGUAUCGUACGAAUAAGGAUCGGCUAACGCCGUGCCAGCAGCCGCGGUAAUACGGAGGAUUCAAGCGUUAUCCGGAUUUAUUGGGUUUAAAGGGUGCGUAGGCGGUCGGAUAAGUUAGAGGUGAAAUCCCGAGGCUCAACUUCGGCAUUGCCUCUGAUACUGUUCGUCUAGCGCUUAGUUGCGGUCUGCGGAAUGUAUGGUGUAGCGGU
rnacentral:rRNA from 1 species